rnacentral:rRNA from 1 species
UACGUAGGGUGCAAGCGUUGUCCGGAAUUAUUGGGCGUAAAGAGCUCGUAGGCGGUUUGUCGCGUCUGCUGUGAAAAUCCAGGGCUUAACCCUGGACCUGCAGUGGGUACGGGCAGACUAGAGUGCGGUAGGGGAGAUCGGAAUCCUGGUGUAGCGGUGAAAUGCGCAGAUAUCAGGAGGAACACCGGUGGCGAAGGCGGAUCUCUGGGCCGUAACUGACGCUGAGGAGCGAAAGCAUGGGGAGCGAACAGG